UGACAAUAGGCUGGUCUCAUUGAUUAAACCAUGUAUGUGUAAAACAAACUGUUUUCACGACGAUGUCUGUCAUGUGUCAUUGUUUUACGUGCUUUUAUUCAACUUACAUUUUGGUUUAAAUGUUCUUUUUCUUUUUUUAAUACACGCACAAAAACUUCAACUGAAUUGCUUGAAGUGCUUUUAUUAGAACAAAAACCGAACGGCGUUUGACGAAUGUUGAACGUCGAAACUGUUUGGUGAAUCUGAAUAACUAUUUCUGAUCGCAUGGUCUAGCACCGGCGACAUCACUUUCAAGUGUCUGCCUUAUCAACCUUCGAUGGUAGUCUAUGCGACUACCAUGGUGAUAACGGGUAACGGAGAAUCAGGGUUCGACUCCGGAGAGGGAGCCUGAGAAACGGCUACCACAUCCAAGGAAGGCAGCAGGCGCGCAAAUUACCCACUCCCAGCUUGGGGAGGUAGCGACGAAAAUUAACGAGACUAUUCUCGUUUG
rfam:Trichinella spiralis unplaced genomic scaffold Scfld6150, whole genome shotgun sequence.